rnacentral:rRNA from 1 species
AGUGAACGCUGGCGGCAGGCCUAACACAUGCAAGUCGAACGAAGUCUUCGGACUUAGUGGCGGACGGGUGAGUAACACGUGGGAACGUACCUCUUGGUUCGGAACAACUCAGGGAAACUUGAGCUAAUACCGGAUGAGCCCUUAGGGGGAAAGAUUUAUCGCCGAAAGAGCGGCCCGCGUUAGAUUAGCUAGUUGGUGAGGUAAAGGCUCACCAAGGCUAGGAUCUAUAGCUGGUCUGCGAGGAUGAUCAGCCACACUGGGACUGGGACACGGCCCAGACUCCUACGGGAGGCAGCAGUGGGGAAUCUUGGGCAAUGGGCGAAAGCCUGACGCAGCCAUGCCGCGUGAAUGAUGAAGGUCUUAGGAUUGUAAAAUUCUUUUACCAGGGAAGAUAAUGACGGUACCUGGAGAAAAAGCCCCGGCUAACUUCGUGCCAGCAGCCGCCGUAACAC